rnacentral:rRNA from 1 species
UACGUAGGGGGCAAGCGUUGUCCGGAAUCAUUGGGCGUAAAGCGCGUGUAGGCGGCCCGGUAAGUCCGCUGUGAAAGUCGGGGGCUCAACCCUCGAAUGCCGGUGGAUACUGUCGGGCUAGAGUGCGGGAGAGGCGAGUGGAAUUCCUGGUGUAGCGGUGAAAUGCGCAGAUAUCAGGAGGAACACCAAUUGCGAAGGCAGCUCGCUGGAACGUAACUGACGCUGAGACGCGAAAGCGUGGGGGAGCAAACAGG